CCCCCUCCCUCCCCAUCCUUUGUACUCUUGGAUUUGGUCACGGCCUUUCUGAUCUUUCGUCCACCUGGUCUCCGGGCUCCGUGGAAUUCCAGGACCGGCUCAGAGAAACUGCGAGAAUAAAGGAGGCCCAAGGCCGAGAGCGGUCCCCAGCCCUGGCCCUUGUCCCCCUGAGUCCUGCUCAAAGCUGGGGGGUCUCGCUCCGUGAGCACAGUUCCCUGCACCUCAAUUGGUGGCAAUGGCUUCCAGCCCCCGCGCUUUGAGCAACAGGAGGCGGCAGCAGGGGUGGAGCUAUGGGUCCCUGAGCUGGCAAGAAACGUGGGGGGACCAGGACACGCCACCCCCCAGCAGGGGAAAAAUGACUUCGUGUUGUCACCCAGAGGUGAGGGACCCGUCGGCGCAUCCUCUGGGGGCGCCAGUUCGCCGUCUGGCCGGGCUCCCUAGCUUCGGAACCUGCGCGGGGUCACAGCCUCCUCGGGGGCUUCCUCCCCCAGCAUCUCGCAGGGCCCGCGCUGGCGCCGUGCAGGGAGCACCCGCUGCGUGCCGGCCCCGGGACUGGGGGGAAGAAGGUGGGGUCCCCGCCCUGAGCAGUCAUCGCAAUGGCGGGAGGCUGCCAGAGGAGGACACCCGAGGAGGGGGAGCUGAUCAGACACCCCCUCCCCUGCACAGCCAGCCCUGCCGGCGCUGGGGCCCCACAGGACGCAGAGGGCGGGGGAGGGAACGGGGGCACCUGGUCUAACCCAGUUCUUGUGCAAGCCCCGCCCCCCCCCACCCCCGUGGCCCUCCCCGGCUCAGCCGUCCAGCUCCCCACCCCAAAUUCUUUACCCGUGGGGGGGGGGGCGGGGUGCAGAGUCCUGGGAGCAUUUCCAGGCCUGCAGUUAAAGGGGAUUUUGGGGGCGUGCCAUAGGUUGUGGUGCAAGGCCCCUUCAGGCUGCCGGGACCCCCUGGCCCCUCCCCACAGGUGCUUUCUCUCCUAGUGCCACUCCUAGAGGCUCUGAGUUCGAGUCAUGGAGCACUGUGUCUUCCCCUCCCCCCCACCGUGAGCUGCCCUGCCCCACACGGCUUCCUCCAGCCGCUGAGCCCGGAGGAGUCAGCCUGCUGCCUGCCAGUGGCUGGCCUGGACUUGCGGUCGGAGAGGGGGUGUUAACCCCGCCAGCAUUCGCAGGGCCACGGAUCUCGGCUCAGGCCUGAGGCCCAGCGUCCAUCUGUCCAUCCAUGUACGGGAGAAGCCCCAGCAAGCCGAACCCAGAACCUGCAGUUGGCUGGGGGGGGGGGGCACCACAGGCCACCCCUCCAUGGUCACUCACCUCCUAAGCCCCGGUUCGGCCUCGGCCGGGAGCCGGCUUGGUGCCCAAUGAAUGAACAAAUGAACGAAUGAGCGAGGUGACACGCUCGGAUGGCCGCAGCCUGAUUGCAUCCGGAGAAAAAUGGAAGGAGCUAAGGGGCGACCUCAGCAAAGGGGUGUCGGUGUCAAGGCCCCGAGGCCAUGCGACCCCUCGUUACGCCAUCCCAGCUCUUCAAGGGCUGCCUGGCAGUCAGCAGGCCAAUGCCUGUGUAUUGAGUCAGCAGCUCGGGCUGGCGCGGCUCUAGGGGACGGCGACACGUGUGGACAAAGCCCCUUCCCCAGCACGUGUAUUUGGAAAAGCCAGCGGACUUGCUUGGGGAGGCUGACGGGCGCAGCAGCGGGGAGCAGGCGUCACCCCACGGCGUUUCCUGCCCUGAACUGUUGGAGCCAAGUGAUCCGGGGGUCUCCUGUGCCAGGCGGGAGGACCCCAGCCCCCUCCCUUCCCUGAGCAGGCUGCGUCACGCUGGGCCACCGUGGGACCAUCAGAAUAAUCCCCUGCAGUCGGCACCGCAAAUGGCUCCCAUUUGACAGAAGGGGAAACUGAGGCUCAGAAACAGGAGAGCCGUAUCCGAAGACACGUCAAGGAGGUAGACAUCAGAUUCGAGCGCAGGUCUGUUUGGCUCAAAGCCGCGUUGCAAGGGACCCACUCCGCCUCCAAGGUUUGCGCAGGGACGGAGGCGCUGGGGCCACGUCCCCGAGGACACUCUGGUCACAUGGUCACUGCACGCCCCUGACGGUGAUGGAGCACUUGUUUGCCUGGGUCCAGGUUUCAGCAGAGCCCACCUCUCACGGGGGGCCAGGGGCCCCCACCCCAGGACUGUUCCAGCCUGUUGACUUUGGGGGCUCAGUUUGGGGCCAGAGCACCAAGCAAGUCCCGUUCGGCGUUUAGGCUUCUAGUAAGUAUUUCAGGUCAUCAAAUGUGCCAUUUUUAAAAAGUAUCAGGUAAGUGGGGGCCGAGCCCCAACCCCAUGGGACACAAUUAUUCUAAUAAACACGAAGCAGCCAGUUUUCACAUUAGAAAAAUCACAGUUUCUAGCAGAAACGCGGAACUUUUAAAAGAGGUUAAUUAAUAAGCAGCAGGUAAUUGCUCGUGGCACGUCGUGGCAGAGGGUAAUUUUCAUUUUCGAGGAUGGAAGGGCCAAAUGCCCCUCCCCGCUCAGCAUUUUCGCGUAAUAAUCACCUCGACUUCACCUCUGCCUUUAAUUUUUACAGCUGGAGCUGUUUAUCAUAGCUCCAAGACUCACGAAAAAGGAGAAACUAUCACUUAAACAAAGCCAUUCAAAACUCGGCAUCGUAUGUGGAUUUCUUAACAUAAAUAAAUCAUGCAAACCAAGAUUUAUGUUCCUGGAAUGAUGUCAUUCAUUGAAGGCUGCCUUCCCAAUCAAAUCAGCCUUCAGUGA
ensembl:lincRNA